AAGGGUUGGCGAUUCACCAAUUCCAGGAGCUGGAGGAUAUGCUGAUAACUCAUUUGGUGCUGCUGUAGCAACUGGAGAUGGAGAUAUUAUGAUGAGAUUUUUGCCUAGCUAUCAAGCUGUGGAAAAUUUGCGCAACGGAAUGACUCCAAUCGACGCUGCUAAUGAUUCCUUACAAAAAAUAAAAAAUACCUUCUUUUUAUGGUGCCAUAAUAGUUAUGGAUAAAUUUGGGAAUCAUUCUGCUAGUUGUCAUGGUUGGGAUACUUUUACAUACACAUAUAGGACUCGAGAAAAAAGCACACGUUAUAUUGAUAUUGAAUGUUCAAGAAUAUUUUAAAAUUUUAUUAUUUUAAAACUAC